ensembl:lncRNA
AGUAGUUUUAAAUGAAAUACUCUUGAAAUGAUGGACUCAUGAAUUUGCCAAUCUGAGAGCACUUGUUUUUCAUGUUAUCUAGUUUGUUUAUGGAUGGAUUAAAGGAAGAAAUUGCUGUUUAUCUGAGUUAUCUUCUAUUAGGCUCCAUGAAGCAGAGGAACUAGCUUCAUGUUUUUGUUUAACCUUUACCAGAUAGUUCAAAUCUUCCCUUUGCCUAUUUUACUGAUUUAUAAAAUGUUGUAGAAAUGGUUUUAUUUUGUUAGGGAACUAAAGUGCCCUCUACUGUUUCUUUCCUGUCAUUACAGUCAAAUAUCUGUUAAGAUGCUUGUAAUAGAAAAACUGUCCUUAAAGAAAUAAAAGCAAUAAAUUAAUUUAUGAUAAAGAUAAAUUGAAGCUAUGGAUUAUACUUAUAAAAAGGAAUUUAUCCUUAACCAAGCAUUUUAAAGCCUUUACACAGUUUAUAAUUUAAUUAGUAAAUAAAAGCCCAAUUAUUUACCUUAAUCAUAUUUUUGUCACAUACUUUGUCUUAAAAAUGAAAUUCCACCUUAUAAAUAACAUUUACAACUUUGGAUAUUGUUUUAAAUUCAUUUUAUACAGCCUAAAUAUUUUUAUAGGUUGUCUAAUAUCAUUUUAAAAAGAUGAAUCCAGUAGAUACAUUUCCAACUUAAAUAUUCAGAAGCAUAAAAUAAUUAAGAAGGACUAACCAUGAUUAUAUUAAUGUAAUCAAUUAAGCUUGCUAUUGAGAAAAAAAUCUCCAUCUUAAGAUAUCAUGUGAUUGGCAUGCUGAAUUACUUAAAAGUAGAAUUAUUUUAGAAGCUGAUAUUUUUGCUUGUCGUAAACUUAAAUUUUGACUAAUGAUUAUGCAUAUCCCCUCACAAAAAUUUUUUUUUUUUUUGCUAUUUCUUGGGCCGCUCCCGUGGCAUAUGGAGGUUCCCAGGCUAGGGGUCCAAUCAGAGCUGUAGCCACCAGCCUACACCAGAGCCACAGCAAUGCGGGAUCCGAGCCGCGUCUGCAACCUACACCACAGCUCACGGCAAAGCCGGAUCGUUAACCCACUGAGCAAGGGCAGGGACCGAACCCACAACCUCAUGGUUCCUAGUCGGAUUCGUUAACCACUGCGCCACGACGAGAACUCCUGCAAAAAAUUUUCAAGUUGAGUCGAAUUCAUUUUAACCACUAUUACUAAUAGCAUCAUUAAAAAAUAAAUAAAUGUAAUCUCCAAAUCUUAAUAUUUCAGUUAUCUACAUGGUUAGAGGUUUAGGAUCUGUACAGAAGACCUUUUUCAAAGUUCAUAAAGCUAAGAAUUUAAGAACAUUUCUCUCUUUCUCACUUUCUUUUUCACAGGACUAUCACUGCUAAGGUUUUAAAAAUGUUCUAGCUGUUGGUAGCUAUUCAGUUCUUGCACAAAGACACAAAUCCUGGCUGCUGGCCUUUUGGCAUCUGCUAAUAUUUUCAUAGACCUCAAUUGAACUUUCUGUCUGUUCAUGGAACUUCAGAGGCUGACAAAAGAAACAGCUUCUAUUUGUCUUUUUCACCCUUCACUUUUAAUCCUUUCCAUAAGCCACUUGAAAGGACUGUGUGAGGCAGUUCAAGAAUAAAAAGGGAAAAGAAGAAAAUCUAUGUUUCCUUCACAAUGUUUGUCUCCCCUUCCUUUUCAUCCAGAGAAUAGCAAAUUAAGCAACCAUGAAAACGGGGGAUAGUGCGGUGCAUAUAACCAAGCUUAGCAUUGGAUGAGCCUCAAACUUAUAACAGCCAUUUAAGCCUCCCUUGUGUGCAAGAAUUAAUCAGCAAAAGCAGUCAUAAAAACACACACACAAAAGGAAAAGUGAUUUAGCAGUGGAGCAGAGCAAGAGGGGCCUGCCCAAGAGCAGUGAGCUCACAACUUAACAAAAUGACAGCACCCCAAGUUUGCCACGACACGUAGGUCCUUCUGGGCCAUCAGUCCCCCCCCCCCUGCCUUCUGAAGCCCUGGGAACAUGGCUUUCAUGUGCCUUCCUCAGCUUCACUGUCUCUCUCUUCACCAAGGAACAAGGCCUGGCCUGUCUGGUUGGUGACUGCUCUUACCUGCUUCUCCAAGUCAGCAC